CCCAACAUGUGAACUCUUAGGGAGAGACUUGGUAGACAGGCCAAAAAGUGUAACCCCAACCUUAAGGCACAUCUUAUAUUGAGGUGGCAAUAAAGAACAAGUGGGAACCCAGAAAUAGCUGCCUGAGAGAUUUUGAAAGAACCUCUUCCUGACCUUUGCUGGCCCGCAUGCCUGCAAUUGCUGACCGCGGUGCCCCAGGCAUCCCUGAAUUCUCUACAGCAAGUAGCCAGAAAGGAGCAUGUUUAGACAGAUCCCGAGAUUCCAGGUCAGUAAUUCGUGGUGGAUGAACUUUGUCCCCCGGGAAUGGAAUACUUCGGUGUGAAAACCGGCCAAACUGGAGGCCCACACAAGAUCGUCUGACAUGUUCCCUCCAGCUAUUCUACAGUUGCCUUUGAUCCGCUGGGCCUUAACUGUGGUCUGAUAGGCUCCCAGGAAAGGGCUUUCAUGAUCAAAUCCAUUAAAUUCAACAUAGCAUCUCGGCGGAGCCAGAGUGGCUCACUGGGUUGGAAUGUCCUUUAAAGCAAAAGGUCAAAGUUUCGAUUUCCAGCCAAGGCACAUGCCUAGGCUGUGAUUCUGUCCCCAGUGAGGGGUGUGUGAGAAGCUCUCUUUCUCUCCUGUCUCUUCUCCUGUGUCUAAAAUCAAUAAGCAUGCCCCUAGGUGAGGAUAAAAAAUAAUAAAAAUAAAUAAGUCCUUACAUUAGUCAGUGACUCCGAACAUGCAGAAGUUUAGGACAUAGUCCCUGCCCUCAAAGAGCUUGUGUUUGGGAAGACAUGAAAAAACAUUUGAUUGUAAGGGAAUCGGGUCCCAAAUAACAUCACUUGUGCUAAAACCUAUGAAACCAAAUCUAGAUUUAAUACCUGAUUUAACUGCACUUUCACCCUCUCCCAGAAAUAUCAUCUUAAUCGACCAGUCUAGAAUUUGGUAAAAAAUCUGUAAGGUGAAAUCUGUUUUUUUUUAAUUAUUGAUUGAUUGAUUUGAGAGAAUCAUGGCUUUGUUGUUCCAUUUCUCAUGCGUUCAUUGGUUGAUUCUUGUAUGUGCCUUGACCGAGGAUCGAACCUACAACCUUGGUGCUUUGGGUCAGGGCUCUACCCAACUGAGAUACCCAGCCAGGGUUUGUUAUGGGAGCCUCUCCAUCUCUCUCUCAACCCCCAGGAAGAAGAGGCAAUCUGCAUGAUAAAACCCUGACCUUCUCUUCCUCCCCCAAAAGAUGAUGUCCUGGCCUAAAAAUAGCCAUUUCUUUUGCUAAUAAUUCACUCUUCUACCUAUAAAAACCUUCCAUUUUAUAUACCCUUUGGGGGCCCUUCUAGUUGCUAGAUGGGAUCUUGCCAGAUCUAUGAAUUGCUUAAUAAAGCCAAUUAGACCUCCAGUCUUACUCAGUUGAAUUUUGCUUAUUCACAGGUUAAAUGCUGUGAUUGGUAUAUAAGACAUCUGAGAAGGUAAAGUACAGUUUGACUAGAGAGGUCGGGAAUAGAGACACAAAAUCCCCUUCGAUUUGAAGCCGUGAAAAACGAUUUAAUGGAUUGCGGGAAGGGAAAAGGCGGCUAUCUGGGGAAAUUUUGAAAUUCGUGCCAUUGCAGAUUGGGUUCUCCGGGAAGCAGACAGAGCUAUGGAGUUGGGACUACAGGAGGUUCCCUGUGGUGUCACACCAGAAAAAGUUAAGGGAAGACAGUAAUUGGUCCGUGGGGGCCGUCAGACUGCCACGCCUACCUCUCAACUCUGCCAGCCCGGCUGCGAACAGGCGCCUAGCCUCGGGCAACUAAACUUGUUUCCUGUUGGGGGGGUGGCGCGUCAGGGAGAAGUGCGUGACUUUAGUCCAAACACUGGGGCGGACCCUGAAGGAGCUUAAGCUGGAAGCUAUCACCUACACACUCCCUGAGUUGAGCAACACUUGCUAGCUGACGGUGGGUAGUAGUGACUCGUUGCAUCGCCGGUUAUCUAUAUCUCCAUUUGUAUUCAGAAAACAACUCCAGGGGUCUGACGGGCUGCUCUUCCUGAAAGGAAACUCGGCGGAAGAAAGUUCAUGUAAUUAACUAUAGCCUGUGUCAAGGCAAUUGGUUGCGAGGUCACGACUGGGCCUCGGUGAUAUACCUCCACCACUGUGCAUCCUCUCUCCCCUCCCCCUCAGCUACCACCUCGGUGUUCUCUGUUACCUCCCUAGGGGUGUAGCCCAAAUCCUCAUUUCUAACUGGUCUCAGCGCCUUGUCAGACUAGGGUUGCUACUCUUAGCCUGUUCAUGCGGUCACCAGUUGACACCCCAAUACCUCACCAGAAUCCGCACACAAGCCACCAUCCAUUUUUAGCUGGAAUCCACAUAGUGAGAAGACCCAUCCGUACCCUGAGCUUGGUUUUCUUUCCCUUGCUUAGCUGUUUCUAUGGGACGCCUCGUGUGGCCUUAGGGUGUAAGCUGGGAGAGGGUUGCCAAUGCAACUGUAAUGAGUGACGUGGGAAUCUGCGCUGCUUAGUCAGCUCCUGAGUCGUGAGAGGGUCAGCCCCAGAUGUACCAGUUCCCUCCUAUGUUGGCUUUGAUGCUGGGUCUGCCUGGCUUAUGACUCCGUGUCUGCUAGGACCCAGCUCAUGAUGGCCAGUUCUGAACCCAGGGUGAAUCAUGAUCUGUACCAGUGCCCAGCCACAAGGUAGGAGCUGUUUUUCCAAAGGAGUGUAAUUCUUCACCACACUUGGCAUAACUUCGGGGAUGGUGUUGUGAUUCUGCCGCUGGGACUUGCCGUAAUUGUCACAUUAUAUCGUCUCCCAUCGCUGACACCUCCAACACGCUAGGCUCUGCCAGAUUGCAUAGUCCAAGCAGAAGGGCUGUUUGAAUAGCAGCCUGGACCUGCUGCGGAGCUCUUCUUUCCCGCUCUGAGCCCCACUCAAAGCUGGCCGCCUCCUGUGUCACCUGGUACAUGGGCAGCGGUAGGAUUCUUAGGUGUAGAGUGUGUUUCCUCGGAACCCAAAGAUUCCCUACAGGCUCUGCUCUUCCUUCUCUCCGGCAAGCGAUCCAAGAUAACAGCAAUUUGUCUUUUACUUGGGAGGACAUGUACCAGGAUGCUGCUCACCACCAGGCCUCUGAUAUCCUUUAGUGAAGCAGUAGGUCACAAAAACUACAGGCUUUACCUCCCACCGUCUGGAGCACUUGCGUCAUUUCAAGCCGGUAGCAUGUGCUCCAACUUCUUCUUCGGCCUGAGCAGCACGACAUGGUUGUUGGAACGGAUCGAAGUGAUGCUGUGGUUGUCUUUGAAGUAUAUUAGGACAGAGAACUGAAGAGGGAACAUGAAACUGUGGCAAAAUUGCAAAUGCUGGUAGGUAUCCUUGCUGUGUGAAUAUGAACUAUUUCUGAUCCUCUUCCCUGACUGGGAUAGAAAGGAAGGCAUUUGCCAAACGGAUGGCAAUUGUGAGCUAGAAGUUGCAUAUGUGGGAGAAGGAGGGGUGGCAGGGGGCCCACAGUGCUUUAAGAAAAAGCCCAUAAAUAACUUUGGGUACCUGCCUUAACUUUGAUUAACUGCCUCCGGUCACGUAUCUUUUCUACAACAGAUGACAAGAGGUAGUCUAGAAAAAGAUGAGGACCUGGGUUAAUAGACCUCCACACAUACCUACGUUUAGGUGGUCACAUUUUCCCGUGGGAAGGCAUUCCCAACCUCUGUCCCCCAAAUGAAUACGUCCCCCCAUCCCGCUAAGUUCUCAGAAUAAAGGACCUGCUGCCUUGCCCUGUCUUGCCUCCUGCCUUUCAUUCACAUCAGCAAGGCCCAUUCUCGUCUCUGAGAACGUAUCGCUAAUGAAUUCUGCUUGCAUACCAAAGCACUUGCUGAUCUUUAAUUCUUUACUGCAUCAGAAAGAAGACCUGAGUUUCCCACAAACAGUCAUGUACCUGAGACGGCGUAACUCCACUCGGGCCGAGCCACUCUGUCAGGGGCAGCUGGUGUAAAGGGGUUCUACUCCCUUGCAAUAGUCUGCCAUCAUUCUCUAGCAUCCACCCAACUGCUGCCAAGUCAACACUGGCAAGGUAAAUGGACAUAAGGUAGGGACCACUAUCUUUUUGAUAGUUAAGAGUGGCACUAACAGCUGCCAUCCUCCCUUACCCAGGAUGUAAUGAUAUUUUGUGGUUACUGUAUGAGGGAGAACCAAAAAAAACCACAACAAUUAUCUUCUGGAAGGCAGGCUCCUUGUUGUACAGGCUUUCUCUGGUAAGUGAAUGUUCCAGGAACCCAUCUGUACCAGUGCACCAACUGGUGUUGUUGUGAGAGGCUGCAUUCGGCUUCAGUGAAUUUUUCUGGAGGACUCAAUGCAUUUGCCCAUUUCAUGAUGGAUGAUUUACAAGCACACCUGCCCACACCGUGCCGAGAGGGUUCAGCAGUUUUUGACCAAAAACGGCAUGACUGCCACGCCCUACCCUCCCCGUUCACCCAAUCUUGCCCUCAGUGAGUUAUUUUGCUGUUUCCCCAGGCGAAAAAAAGUCCUCAAGGGGAAAUAUUUUGCAGGUGUGGAAGAGGUGAAACAAAAAGCGGCAGAAGCACUCAAAGGCAUCAAAAUUGAUAAGUUCAAAGACUGUGUUGAGCAGUGGGAAAAAUGUCUCAAUAGGUGCAUCGUAUCCAAUGGAGAGUACUUUGAAGACGACUGAAGUUUAAACAUGUAAGAAUAAAUAUGCAAUUUUUUAUUUAUUUAGUUUUUUUUUAAGAUUUUAUUUCUUCAUUUUUAGAGAGGAGGAAAGAAAGGGAGAAUGACAUCAAUGUGUGGUUGCCUCUCACAUGCUUCUAACUGGGCACCUGACCCACAACCCAGGCACAUACCAUGACUAGGUAUCAAACCAGCGACCCUUGGAUUCUCAGGCCAGUGCUCAACUCACUGAGCCACACCAGACAAGGCAAAUACAAGGUUUUUUGGGCCCCCCUUCCUAUUGGCCUGGAGGGGAGGAGGCAGGUGCAGUUUAAAAUGCUCCGUGCGCCUCCCCUGCUGGGAUGGCUUCUCAUGAGCAGAUGAGAGCGACCACGGCAGGGAAGGGUCGCAGGGACGCCACGUGAGGGGCUAGCCCAGCUCCCAAAUCCCACCUGCACCUUUGCGGAUUAGGAGGAUGACAACCAGUGAGUCCAUGGACCCAAGGGACCCACUGGAGGCUGUACCUUAGGGUUCCCGUUGCUCCCACUCUAGCAGCGGGAGAGAAAGUCUAUGAAGAGGCUUCAGGUCUCAGAGUAUUAGUUGACCUCUGACCUUGUGCCCCAAAGUCAUCAGAAUGUCCCAGUGUUCUGUCAUCCAGGCAGAUGUUGUAUUUCGAGAUCUCCGUGGGGAAGGAGAGGAGGAAGUAUAACGGCUCGACCUCGAACAGUGCUAUAGGCCCUUCUCCCUGGGAGCCUGGCCACCUCUCAGCCACUGGGUUUUGCUUCUGAACACUGAUUCAGGAAUGGAAACCAGGCAAGCAACUGUGACCUUUAACUGGGGAGACCACCUUCCUUAUUCUCCUGCUUACUAAAUCUCAUUCUUUUCAGAUUAUACCUGUGAAGCAGUGCUUGGUCAGCUACCCAUCUGCUUUCCUCCUAGGAAAACUCAGUUCUACUCCCUAUUUCUAAAGCUCUCCUCUGGUCAGGUCCCCUGGCUGCCACUGUGACUUGGAUGUUGCAAAUGCCUGGCUUCUGCGGUUAGGCGCCAUUGCCUGGUGACUGCUGCAUCAAGGUCCUAUCACUCCCACGGCUGUCAGUGAGCCUCCUAAGGUCAGUGACAUCCUACAGGGAAAGCAUCACUGAAACUUCCUAGUGACAUUGCUGUCCUCCUCACCGCUGUGUGCCCCACAUCCUCCAUGAAUGGGACCCUUCCGAGCCAUCCUGUGGAUGCCUCAUCUUCUGAAAUGUAAGCAUUUCAGCCUCACUCUUCAUGGGCCAUCAAAUUGUCCAGGCUGCCAGGCGCAGUAAUUACGGGCAGUAAUUUUUAGCACCCCCGAUCCUUGCCAGGGUGCUAAAGCUUGUGUCCCGCGAGACUGCUUCUAGGUGAAUAAAUUCUUCUGUGUAAAGUCCUGUAUUCCAGUUCCCCUGGUGGAGCAGCUUGUUCGGAAUGGUAAUGUUGGAAGUCAAAAUGGACCACUCACUUUAGAAGAUUGACAAGGGACACAGAGGAGAGGAAAGGAGAGGAAUUAUUCAAGUAGCUAGAGGGAGAUUUUUGUAUUCGUUUGUUUGCUUGCGCGUUACUGUUUUCAUGGAACAUCUGGGCAUGUGUGAAAACUUCGAAGAGCUAAGACUGGGGGGAGUGCAAAGCUGCAGUUUCUAGGGCACAUUAGUAUGAUAUCAGGCCACAUGAGUGUGUUGAACCACCAGCCAUCAAAAAGGGAAGCAAGCCCUGGCUGGGUAGCUCUGUUGGUUGACGCCAAGAUUGUGAGUUUGACCCCCAGUCAGGGCACAUAUAUAAGAGUCAACCAAUGAGUGCAUAAAUGGGUGGAAAAACAAAUUGAUGUUUCUCUUUUCCUCUUUUUUCCUCUCUCUCCCCCUCCCUGUCUCUCUAAAAUUAAUAAAUAAAAAUAUUUUUUCAAAAAAUGAAGUAUAACUUAUACACAGCCAAUGAGUCAGCUACGCUAAGUCUUAGAAAUUAGAAGUACAUAAACAUCAGAGGGUUGAGGCAGAUGUAAUGUCUGAAGUCCAGGGUAAGCAGAUGUUCGCCAGGAGAUAAGGGAGUCAGGGAGGCAGUAAUUAGCCAGACAGAGGAGGGCAGAGGGAGGGCUUCGAGGGGUUUUCCCUAGAUCGAAACUGCCUAGCAGCUACGCUCCCUCCGAAGCACUGAACUGGGAAGAGAAGGAGCAGUAGGUGUACCGGAGGGGUUAAAUUUAGAGAGAGAAGGGUAGUUCCCCUCUUUGAGAACACAUUUAGACUUUUCUUUGGUGGUGUUAAAAUGAGGAACUUCAGGCUGCGAACCUUCUUCUCGAAACACUUGUCUGAAAGCAGAAGCAACGAGCAAGUUGUCUCUGCUCAAGGAGCAAGUCGCAACUCGUCGAUGAGAUGGUCUAAUGCACUAGUCAGCUAGCUCCCAGCGCCUCUCACCUCCUGAUAUUUGCGGCCUCGUGCAGACCCUUCCCACUCUGAGCAGGACUGACCUGCGUGCUCCACAGGACAUCACAGAAACAACAGUGUGAGCUCCAAGACUAGGUCGUAAAAACCAUUGUGACUGUCAUCUCGUUUGCUCUCUCUACACGUGCUCUGGGGAAGCCAGUUGUUGUGUGGACUUUCUAGCAGCCCGAUGGAGAGAUCCACGUGGCAUGUAACAAAGACCUACUGCCAACCGCAGACACUAGCCUGCCUGGUGUGUCGGGGGUGGGGGGCCAUGCGCAGUGGCUGCAGCCCCAGCUGACAGCAUCAGGAGGGACUUGACUCUGAGCCAGAAUCACCCAGCUGAGCUGCUCAGCAGACACUACGGGAGAUAAGAAUAUUGAUUGCUUUAAGCUAUUAAGUUUUGUGAUACAUUGUGACAUGGCAACGAGAGAUUAAUACAGUCCGUCCAAACUCACAAAAGUUCCCGCACACAAAGUAAUGUGGACUCUUGAAGAAAACUGGAUAUGUACCCAGGCCCGGAGGAGCACAGAAAGAAUGGAUUAAGGGAAG